rnacentral:piRNA from 4 species
GUGGUUCAGUGGUAGAAUUCUCGCCUGC